rnacentral:rRNA from 1 species
UCUUGUAUUGGAAUGAUGGGAAUCUAAACCCCUUCCAGAGUAUCAAUUGGAGGGCAAGUCUGGUGCCAGCAGCCGCGGUAAUUCCAGCUCCAAUAGCGUAUAUUAAACUUGUUGCAGUUAAAAAGCUCGUAGUUGAAUUUCUGCUGUUUCGUUGACUGCGCUUGGCGUUUGUCAUCGUUGCGGCUUGGUUGGGUUUCGAUUAUUCGUUUCCCGGCGUUUACUUUGAGAAAAUUAGAGUGCUUGAAGCAGGCUUUUGCCUUGAAUACUUUAGCAUGGAAUAACGGAGUAGGACUUUGGUUCUAUUUUGUUGGUUUUAGGAGCCAGAGUAAUGGUUAAUAGGAACAGUUGGGGGCAUUCGUAUUUGACUGUCAGAGGUGAAAUUCUUAAAACUCCUCCGAUUACUCUGCAAAAGAUCUAUUGCACUCUGAAAUGAAAAAUUUGAUCGCUGAAUACUCUGAAUAUGGGAAUUCAAUUCUUUUUUCCGCUUCAAUGAGAGUUGAUUCACAAUAUCUCUUCAAUUUAUCAUAGUCUUUCAAUCUCAUCAUUAUAGAAGACAAUGGGGGGGUCUCCAUACCACCUUCUUCUAUACUCAUACUAAUACACUUCUACUGUUAAACUCUUUUUAAAUAUCUUACAUAUAUAAAAUCUGUAAUAACACUCU